GACGAACGCUGGCGGCGUGCCUAAUACAUGCAAGUUGAGCGCUGAAGGUUGGUACUUGUACCGACUGGAUGAGCAGCGAACGGGUGAGUAACGCGUGGGGAAUCUGCCUAUGAGCGGGGGACAACAUUUGGAAACGAAUGCUAAUACCGCAUAAAAACUUUAAACACAAGUUUUAAGUUUGAAAGAUGCAAUUGCAUCACUCAAAGAUGAUCCCGCGUUGUAUUAGCUAGUUGGUGAGGUAAAGGCUCACCAAGGCGAUGAUACAUAGCCGACCUGAGAGGGUGAUCGGCCACAUUGGGACUGAGACACGGCCCAAACUCCUACGGGAGGCAGCAGUAGGGAAUCUUCGGCAAUGGACGAAAGUCUGACCGAGCAACGCCGCGUGAGUGAAGAAGGUUUUCGGAUCGUAAAACUCUGUUGGUAGAGAAGAACGUUGGUGAGAGUGGAAAGCUCAUCAAGUGACGGUAACUACCCAGAAAGGGACGGCUAACUACGUG
rnacentral:rRNA from 1 species